rnacentral:rRNA from 1 species
UACGUAGGGUGCGAGCGUUGUCCGGAAUUAUUGGGCGUAAAGAGCUCGUAGGCGGUGUGUCGCGUCGGCCGUGAAAACCUGCAGCUUAACUGUGGGCUUGCGGUCGAUACGGGCAUCACUGGAGUUCGGCAGGGGAGACUGGAAUUCCUGGUGUAGCGGUGAAAUGCGCAGAUAUCAGAAGGAACACCAAUGGCGAAGGCAGCGCGCUGGGACGGUACUGACGCUGAGACGCGAAAGCGUGGGGAGCAAACAGG